rnacentral:rRNA from 1 species
AUGUCAUGUCCGUCCACCCCCUUGUCGCAACACUAUUCAGAAUUUCCAAAAAGACUAGACUGUUGUUUUAGAAAGGUUGUCAUCCAUUGUGUGUACUCUUUGCUUCUGUGCCACUACAGCUUUGCGGUGCCUGUGUCUGGACAGAUUGAUUUUUAUCUAUCAUGUGAUGGUGCGGACAGAAUCGAUUGGUUGGGGCAAACCGAUUUACGUUUUAUCAUAAAAAAUCCUGGUACCUUUUGUAGUGUUUGUUGUGUGUUUUCUGGACACUUCGGAAAUUUAACAAACAGAGACAGAUACAAUGACAAAUUCCGCAAUGAAAAUGAAAAUUGCUGUGUGUUUUCUGGAGACUUCGGAAAUUGA